CGAGUGAAGCGGCAACAGCUCAAAUUUGAAAUCUGGCCUUCUGGUCCGAAUUGUAAUUUGUAGAGGAUGCUUUUGGUUAGGUACCUUUCGAGUUCCUUGGAACAGGACGCCUUAGAGGGUGAGAGCCCCGUACGAUUGGAUACCGAGCCUCUGUAAAGCUCCUUCGACGAGUCGAGUAGUUUGGGAAUGCUGCUCUAAAUGGGAGGUAAAUUUCUUCUAAAGCUAAAUACCGGCCAGAGACCGAUAGCGCACAAGUAGAGUGAUCGAAAGAUGAAAAGCACUUUGAAAAGAGGGUUAAAUAGUACGUGAAAUUGUUGAAAGGGAAGGGCUUAUGACCAGACCUUUGCCUUGCGGAUCAUCCGGUGUUCUCACCGGUGCACUCCGCUUGGUUGAGGCCAGCAUCAGUUUUGGCGGCCGGAUAAAGACUUCAGGAAUGUGACUCCCCCGGGAGUGUUAUAGCCUGCUGUGUAAUACGGCCGCUGGGACUGAGGACCGCGCUUCGGCUAGGAUGCUGGCAUAAUGGUCAUCAGCCACCCGUCUUGAAACACGGACCAAGGAGUCGAACAUUUAUGCGAGUUUUUGGGUGUUAAACCCUCAAGCGUAAUGAAAGUGAACGGAGGUGAGAGCCCUUACGGGUGCAUCAUCGACCGAUCCUGAUGUCUUCGGAUGGAUUUGAGUAAGAGCAUAACUGUUCGGACCCGAAAGAUGGUGAACUAUGCGUGGAUAGGGUGAAGCCAGAGGAAACUCUGGUGGAGGCUCGCAGCGGUUCUGACGUGCAAAUCGAUCGUCAAAUCUGCGCAU
rnacentral:rRNA from 1 species